rnacentral:lncRNA from 1 species
AUGGGCCGCCGGAGGUGCCUUCAGCGUCUCCUGCUCUGGUUGCCUCAUUCGCCAUCCCUGGCUGUCACAGAGGAGGAGGCCGCGCUACGCUGUCUGCUGGGAUUGCUGGGCAGAGGCUGGGGCAUCUUGAAAGUUCCUGGAGUGGGGAAGAGGUCCAGAAAGGACAAGGGAGGAGCCCUGAAGAUGACCAGGAGAAGGAAGUGGAUACAAUGCUGCAUUUAGAGUAAGGAAGAACUUGAAGCCUAAUGGGUAGAGUGCCAGGCCUGGAGUCAAGAAGAUUUUGUCUUCAUUUAACCGAUGUGAAUGAAUUCUCAGUCUCUGGGGGUGAUAUGUAGGGGCAGGAAAGAUCUAUCCUGGAGUUUUCAAAUCACAUCACGUAUGCCAAGUGACUAUAUUUAUGAUGUACAAAGCAAAGUUUAAAUCCAGCCUCAAACACUUACUAGCUGGGUGACCCUGGGCAAGUCACUUGUUUCUUCUCUGUAAAAAUGAGCUAGGGAAGGAAAUAGCAAACUACUCCAGUAGGUCUGCCAAGAAAACCCUAAAUGGGGUCAUGAAGAGUCAGAGACAACUGGAAAAAGACUAAACAAAACACCUAGAAACGUGGACAUUUAAUAGCUGUAUGAGUCUGGGCAAGUUCCUUGAACUCUCUGGGCCUCAAUUUUCUCAUCUGUAAACUGAGGAUGCUGGACUCUGGAUUCUAUUGUUUCUUCCAGUUCUAAAUUAAUAAAUUAUGAAACCUGGG